rnacentral:rRNA from 1 species
CAGCCACCACAUCAGCCCCGACAGGUACGCCUCGCGAUUAUCCAUUCGUCUUCACCUCCACCUCGUUCUAUUCUGUCGCUCCACCUCUCUCAUCCCUAUCUACAACACAGGCGUUCCGGCACCAGCACCCCAUCUCCCUCAUCGCGGUGCUCGGGAGGUUCGGCGGCGCGUCGCUCGAUGGCCUCCGGCCCCGCUCCUCCUUCCUUUUGCUUCCCCGCCUCUGACCUCCACUGGGGAGGAGCGCAGCCCAAGUUUCCCCGCCGUCGGGUUCCGGUGAGGGCCCUCUCCGCUCUCCGCUCUGCUGGCGGCGACCCACCCGUUGUCGGGGCUUCUUUUCCUCUCCGCUCUCCGGCAGUCGCAAGCUCGUCCGGAUCCCCCCGCUGUCAACGCUGGAUGUGCCAAACCUGUUCUAUUUAGUCGAUAGAUGCCUUCUAUUUAGUCGAUAGAUGCCCUCAAGCCGGUUCUCUCUUUCGUUAAUUUCUUCCUUGAUUCUUAAGGCGGCUUGUUGCUUUCAGAUUGCCCACACAUAUAUAUAUAUAUAUAUAUAUAUAUAUAUAU